rnacentral:tRNA from 1 species
GGCCUCGUAUCUUAGCCGGUAAAGCAUGCACGUGGAAUGCGUAGGCGGCGUCCACGCGUGGGUUCGAAUCCCGCCGAGGCUA